rnacentral:rRNA from 1 species
CACGUAGGGCGCAAGCGUUGUCCGGAAUUAUUGGGCGUAAAGAGCGUGUAGGCGGUCCGGUAAGUCCGCUGUGAAAGUCGGGGGCUCAACCCUCGAAUGCCGGUGGAUACUGUCGGGCUAGAGUGCGGAAGAGGCGAGUGGAAUUCCCGGUGUAGCAGUGAAAUGCGUAGAGAUCGGGAGGAACAUCAGUUGCGAAGGCGGCUCUCUGGACCAGCACUGACACUGAGGCACGAAAGCGUGGGGAGCAAACAGG